rnacentral:rRNA from 1 species
CCUACGGGAGGCAGCAGUGGGGAAUAUUGCACAAUGGGGGAAACCCUGAUGCAGCGACGCCGCGUGAGUGAAGAAGUAUUUCGGUAUGUAAAGCUCUAUCAGCAGGGAAGCGAAUGACGGUACCUGAGUAAGAAGCCCCGGCUAACUACGUGCCCGCAGCCGCUGUAAUACGUAGGGGGCAAGCGUUAUCCGGAUUUACUGGGUGUAAAGGGAGCGUAGACGGCGAAGAAAGUCUGAAGUGAAAGCCCGCGGAUCAACCGCGGAACUGCUUUGGAAAAUUUUUUGCUGGAGUACCGGAGAGGUAAGCGGAAUUCCUAGUGUAGCGGGGAAAUGCGUAGAUAUUAGGAGGAACACCAGUGGCGAAGGCGGCUUACUGGAAGGUAACUGACGUUGAGGCUCGAAAGCGUGGGGAGCAAACAGGAUUAGAUACCCUGGUAGUC